GCCUUCGUAGUGUAGUGGUCAGCACGCUCGACGCGAAUUCGAGAGGUCCGUGGUUCGAGUCCCGGCGAGGGCG
rnacentral:tRNA from 1 species